AUCCAGCUGACGAGUCCCAAAUAGGAUGAAACGCGCAUUCUGGAU
rfam:Schistosoma mansoni strain Puerto Rico chromosome 3, complete genome